UCGCGUGAGGGAUGAAGGCCUCUGGGCUGUAAACCUCUUUUCUCAAGGAAGAAGAACUGACGGUACUUGAGGAAUAAGCCGCGGCUAAUUCCGUGCCAGCAGCCGCGGUAAUACGGGAGUGGCAAGCGUUAUCCGGAAUUAUUGGGCGUAAAGCGUCCGCAGGCGGCCUUGAAAGUCUGUCGUUAAAGCGUGGAGCUUAACUCCAUUUCAGCGAUGGAAACUACAAGGCUAGAGUGUGGUAGGGGCAGAGGGAAUUCCCGGUGUAGCGGUGAAAUGCGUAAAUAUCGGGAAGAACACCAGUGGCGAAGGCGCUCUGCUGGGCCAUAACUGACGCUCAUGGACGAAAGCCAGGGGAGCGAAAGGGAUUAGAUACCCCUGUAGUCCUGGCCGUAAACGAUGAACACUAGGUGUCGGGGGAAUCGACCCCCUCGGUGUCGUAGCCAACGCGUUAAGUGUUCCGCCUGGGGAGUACGCACGCAAGUGUGAAACUCAAAGGAAUUGACGGGGGCCCGCACAAGCGGUGGAGUAUGUGGUUUAAUUCGAUGCAACGCGAAGAACCUUACCAGGGUUUGACAUCCUGCGAAUCCCUGAGAAAUCGGGGAGUGCCUUCGGGAACGCAGUGACAGGUGGUGCAUGGCUGUCGUCAGCUCGUGUCGUGAGAUGUUGGGUAAGUCCCGCACGAGCGCACCCAGUCUUAGUUGCAGCAUUAGUGGGAUCUAGAGAGACGCGGUGAUAACGG
rnacentral:rRNA from 1 species